rnacentral:rRNA from 1 species
GUGCCAGCAGCCGCGGUAAUACAGAGGGUGCGAGCGUUAAUCGGAAUUACUGGGCGUAAAGCGCACGUAGGUGGCGACGUAUGUCGGGUGUGAAAGCCCCGGGCUCAACCUGGGAAUUGCAUCCGAAACUGCGUUGCUGGAGUACGGAAGAGGAAGGCGGAAUUCCCGGUGUAGCGGUGAAAUGCGUAGAUAUCGGGAGGAACAUCAGUGGCGAAGGCGGCCUUCUGGUCCAGUACUGACACUCAAGUGCGAAAGCGUGGGGAGCAAACAGGAUUAGAAACCCUAGUAGUCC